rnacentral:sRNA from 12 species
CCUAUUGAGUGUUAUAUCAAAUGAUAGUAGAAGUAAAAUUAUACUUUACUUUGAGGUCAGACACGUUGAUGUAGGAA